rnacentral:rRNA from 1 species
UGGGGAAUUUGGACAAUGGGCGAAAGCCUGAUCCAGCAAUGCCGCGUGUGUGAAGAAGGCCUUCGGGUUGUAAAGCACUUUUGUCCGGAAAGAGACCCUUGGCUCUAAUACAGUCGGGGGAUGACGGUACCGGAAGAAUAAGCACCGGCUAACUACGUGCCAGCAGCCGCGGUAGUACGUAGGGUGCAAGCGUUAAUCGGAAUUACUGGGCGUAAAGCGUGCGCAGGCGGUUUGCUAAGACCGAUGUGAAAUCCCCGGGCUCAACCUGGGAACUGCAUUGGUGACUGGCAGGCUAGAGUAUGGCAGAGGGGGGUAGAAUUCCACGUGUAGCAGUGAAAUGCGUAGAGAUGUGGAGGAAUACCGAUGGCGAAGGCAGCCCCCUGGGCCAAUACUGACGCUCAUGCACGAAAGCGUGGGGAGCAAACAGGAUUAGAUACCCUGGUAGUCCACGCCCUAAACGAUGUCAACUAGUUGUUGGGGAUUCAUUUCCUUAGUAACGUAGCUAACGCGUGAAGUUGACCGCCUGGGGAGUACGGUCGCAAGAUUAAAACUCAAAUGAAUUGACGGGGUCAUAGCUG